GCCCAGGUGGUGGAAUUGGUAGACACGCCAUCUUGAGGGGGUGGUGGCCUUAUGGUCGUGCAGGUUCAAGUCCUGUUCUGGGCA
rnacentral:tRNA from 1 species